UUUCUCCUGGCAGAAGAAUAUUUUUCACUUCUUGAAAAAAUGAAGACUUUUCAAUUUUACAACGACUUGAAAGAAUAUCUUUUACGGGAAGAAUUUAGCAACAAUUUAACGGUCAGAGAGCGAAGUGAAAUACGACGUGUGUCCGUGAAUUUUAUGAUUAAAGUCCAUCAUCCAUGCCCUGGCUGCUCAACAGGGUGUAUCAGGACAGGAGGCAGAAGACUUAUUUCUUGGUGGCCCAGAAUACAGUAUCAGGUAAAAGUUAAGUCUAUGAAUGUUUGAAGUAAGUGUUUAAAUAUUUCUUGUUUAUUAUUUUUAUAUUUUACUUGCCUUAGUGAAGUGGAAGAAUUUAACUGAAAGAUAGAGCAGCAAUUAAAGAAGGAGGGAAUGCUGUGAUAUCUGUUGGAAUAGAAGAUGAUGCUACUGCCCAGUGCUUCCAGAAUCCUUCAUUUGAGUCUUGGGUCUGAAUCUACUGCGUCAUUGCCAAGUAUUCUGGGUGAUGCCCUUUGCCGUGCACCCUGGUCAAGUCUUGUGCAACUGACUGUGGUGCUGAAGAGAGAAGAUUUCUGAAGACCCUCUUGAAAUGGAGCUGCAAUUGGAUUAACACCACAACAGUAUGCUUGGUGAGAAUGUCCACAGGGGCCUGGGGGGGCUGUGACCUUGUGACCUGAGACGUUGUUUUGUCAAUCA